UGAGGAAUAUUGGUCAAUGGGCGAGAGCCUGAACCAGCCAAGUCGCGUGAAGGGAAGACUGCCUUAUGGGGUUGUAAACUUCUUUUAACAGGAAUAAAAAGGCUUACGUGUAGGCCAUUGCAAGUACUGUAUGAAUAAGCAUCGGCUAACUCCGUGCCAGCAGCCGCGGUAAUACGGAGGAUGCGAGCGUUAUCCGGGAUUUUAUUGGGUUUAAAGGGUGCGCAGGCGGGCUUUUAAGUCAGCGGUGAAAUCUGGACGCUUAACGUCCAAACUGCCGUUGAAACUGGGAGUCUUGAGUAUGGAUGAAGUAGGCGGAAUUCGUUGUGUAGCGGUGACAUGCAUAGAUAUAACGAGGAACUCCGAUUGCGUAGGCAGCUUACUAAGCCAUAACUGACGCUCAUGCACGAAAGCGUGGGGGAUCAAACAGGAUUAGAUACCCUGGUAGUCCACGCCGUAAAACGAUGAUUACUAGUUGUAUGCGAUAUGAUAGUAUGUGACUAAGCGAAAGCGAUAAGUAAUCCACCUGGGGGAGUACGCCGGCAACGGU
rnacentral:rRNA from 1 species